UACUUGUUAUGUGUGCAUAUGCUCGGCAUACGAUUAGGCCAUCCGACUGUCACAGAGACUCCCAGGGCUAGGGAUCUCAACCCGCCAGUCGAAUCCAACACACUAACAUUGAAAGGGGACUUUACUACAAUUGCUCUACUCUACGAUAUACAAAAUAGGAGUCAUCAUACAGGGAUCUCGGUGGAUCGAUCCCACACUCGCCCAACCUACCUGGAUCCAGUAUUUCCAUUUCUUGCGUUUCUCUGAAUCCCCUUGAACCACACGCUUCGAAUCACACACUUACUUCAUACCACCUUCCCCCCAAGUUAUACAAAUUUAGCAACACAUAUUAGUAUCUACUGUUUACAAAAGAAUCAUUUUUAAUUUUAUUAAAAAAAAUACGUUAGCUUUAAAUAUUUUCUUAAUUUUUUUCUCUACUAUUUUUUUUUUCUUACACUAAAAUUGACAAACUGUAUGGUAUAAAAAAAACAAAUUAAGAAUAAUACCGGGCUUUCUUAAAUCUAUGGCUUUAAUUACUCGGUAGAAACCAAUAUAUUAUCCUUUGCCUUGCUUUUCCCGCGCAAUAUUCACGCGUCUAUACGAAAUUACUAGCCACCUAAAAGAGCUCUCUUAACCGGCCUAAUUGCCGCUAAAAUUCCACGGCCUAAACUAUCAGAUCGAAUCACAAGGACUCAAGAUAAUUUUACUGUAACACCUCCUAGCCUUUGAAAAUAAACGCGGUAUUUUUCCCUUACAAACUGAUUAUUACUUAAAUCCUAAGAACUAUAACCUAUCUUAUUACUAAAUCUUUAUACUGAAUAUUAUAUUUUUUUUCUCGAAAUUUAUGAUUAUUAACUCUUUUUUUCUUUUCUUUUAGUUCCAAAAAAGGAGACAGCAAAUUUUAUGGACGUCACAUAUAUAUAUAAAUAUAUCUAUCACAACACAACGUUUACGCUUCUUUCCGGAGGAAACAGAUUUUGAACGCCAGACAAACCCUCAAAUGAAGCUGGACUUGUUGACUGGUCCUUUUACAAUGCCGGCGUUCUGGGCGGGAUCAAUAACAGGCACAGCAAAAAGCUCAAAGUUGCAGCUGGCCAGUUUACAAUUCAAAUCUCCACACCCUCAAUGUAACUUUUUUGGCUUUUUUUUUCCUGUGGACAACUUGCCACUACCUUGCGUUACCAAAAAGAAAAGGCAAUUUCCCGCCGUUGUGCUGACCAAAACCGGACAAUUUUCGGUGCUUCCAAAAAAGCUUGAUACACCACCGGAAUAUUC